ACAGAGAUACGCUGCAUACUCGGUUGGGUAGCUCCCACGAGUGCCACUCCGGAGACGGGCGCUGUGCUUUCGCGUUAGCGUCGCUCAUGCCGGUUGGACUUGCUCUCCACGGACUAGUAGUGUGGAGGUAGCUGGAUAAUCACAACCGGGCAGUGACGGGUGUGUUCACAGUCCCAGGGACGGGUAUGCUUACAGUUCCGAUUGGAUUGGGUCAGAUUUGACAUUUCCUACAGUUGGUUAGUAUAGAGCAUGAUAGUGUAGUGAUUCAUAGCGGUAGAUUUUAUUCCUGUAUUUACUACUAUCCUGGCUCCCUUCUGUAGAUUUAGUGGGUGGACCGAUGUUGUUUAGGGCGGCACCCACUGAGGACUAGUUUUUACAGUAGUUCUCACGCCCAGUCGUUACCCCUGUUUUGCAGAGCCACAGGUUUCGGCUGCUGCGCCUUCCGCGGAUCAGGAUCGAGGCAAGGGCGUCGCGAGUUAGAGCCCUACCCGACGAGCUGAGCUAGAGGCACUCCUACUGCAGGUAGACGUUUUGUUUCGAGUUUAUGUACAUAGCAUACUUAACUCGCCAGUGCGAGUAGCUCUGUAUUUUGGAUUUGGGCUAUGUACAUGAAACUCAGUUUGUUUAGUAUUUGUCUACUCGAGCAGCUCUAUACUACUGUUUGUAGUAUUGUAUGUUUACAGGUACUGUUGUCGCUUUGUAUACAGGAGAAAUUCCUUUGUAUACGGCGGAUUUGUCGACGUGCCCGGGGAACGAGACAUCCGGGGCGUGACAAUAGUUCACACAGAGGGAGCUGACCUGACGGCAGCCGCCGGUGCGUGUGGAGUUAUGAAGGACUAUGGACAUUAGUAUUCAGUAUAUCCCGGCAGGGCGACAUGUGCCUGUGGCAAUGCGGUUGAGCAGAGGAAUAUCAGUGCAGAGCCUGAGUUUAGUAUCACCUGAGCAGUAAGACCCCCUACUCGAGGGAGCUUCAGCGGUGUGGGAUCGAGAUGUACCCCCUGAGUCUACGGCGGAGUGCUGAGCGUCUCUAGUUUUACAAUCACCCGUGUUGGAUAGAUCAGAGAGAAACAGAGUGAGAGAUCCGUACUUGUUGAGGAUUAGAGAGCAGCUAGACAGGGGCAUGCUGCAGGGUUUCUGCUUUAGACAGUUCAGGAGUACUACGGUACAGGACCGACUGUGUGUGCCUUGUGAUUUUCUGAGAUUCGAGUAUACAUUCUGAGAGAGGCUAUUUGUUCUCUGUAUACGGUUCACCCUGGGGAACCAAGAUGUAUAAGGAAUCUUACGGCACGGUUCUGGUGAGCUUGGCAAUGGAAGAGGGACAUUGCAGAUUUGUGUUCAGGUUUCGACUUGCCAACAGGUGAAACGAAGCAAUCAGGUGCCUGUGGCAAGCUUCAGAGUCUGCAGGCCCGAGUGGAAGUACGGUAGUACAUCACGAUGGAUUCGCGUGUGGAUUGCCUAGAGCGCAGUGUGCUACGACGGCAGAUUUGGGUGAUAGUGACAGACUUUACCAAGUCGUGCUCACUUACCUACCGGUUCCACUACUAGUCCACGCAGAGAUACUCGCGCAGCUAUACUGGAUGAGAUGUUUAUGCUGCACCGUGACGUGCAGUGUCGAUUGUUGUCAGACAGAGACCGAGCGUUUGUUAUCCUUAGUGUUUGGGGACUUCAAGCCGCCUUGGGCACUCAGCUGCCAUUUUAGCACGGCUCCAGCCCAACAGACAGAUGGUCAGUCGAGCGACCAUACAGACUCUAGGGACAUGCUGAGGGACGCGUCUCUAGUAUUUUGAGGAGGGUGAUAUCGACAAUUGUGAGGACUGGUUGAGUUUGCGUACCAAAACAGCUAUCAAACAGCAAUUCAGUGCUCUCGUUGAGGCGAUGUAUGGACGCAGAUGUCGAUCCCCCUAUUUCUGGGAGCGAUGUGGCCGUGAGCCGGUAGGACACUUGGACAGGGACAUCUACUUGAGCUUGAGGAAAAGGGUGAGAGUUGCUUCGACGACACCUUUUAGAACCAGAGCGCGCCAGAGGAGAGCUACGCGAUACCAGGAGACGAGACUUUAGAGUUUCAGAUUGAGAGAUCACUGGUUUUCUCAACGCUCGUCGUCCACAGAGCGAUACGCGAUUUGGGGUACAUGGAAAGCUCAGUCACGUCUUUGUUGGGCGGGCCGUGUUAUCGAAGAUAUUGACACGAGUUGGACUGGUCUUGCUUACGAAUGAGCUCUAGCCCGGCGACUUGCUGGCCUCCACGAUGGUUUUCAGUCUCAAGCUUUGAGAGAUUCAUUUCGAUCCUCUCACCGGUGAUCGACUUUUACCACUCGAGAUUGGCAGAGGUAUCUGAGAUUACGAGGAGCGGACCCGUUGCGGAUUCUGCUCGGAGGCACGAAAGAAUUACCGCAACCGGCAUCAUUUCCGUAUGUUGAAAGUUGCCAGUGGAGCAUAUCGAGAGCGGGAGCGCAUUGGGAAGCUGAGACAGAUGAGAUGAGCGAGUAUCUUUACCCAACUUGUUUGAUCUUUUCAAGUUGAGUAUGUGCUAAGUUUCGCGGACCGAAACUUUUGUCAGUGGAGGGACGAAUGAUAUAUAUCUGAUUAUAUAUAUAUAUAUAUAUAUAUAUAUAUAUAUUAUUAUAUAUAUUAUAAUAUAUAUAUAUAUUAUAUAUAUAUAAUAAUAUUAUAUUUUUUUAUAUUAAUGCCCCACGAUAGCCCCCAUGCAUGUAUUUCAUGCUUAGUCUAAUUAGGGGUUGUACAUAGCCUCCUUAAUGGAAAUUAUCCUCCCUCUUCUGUCUCUGGAGCCAAGCGGAGGAGGAGGCAGUGGGAUGGAGCGGUUCGUCGCCGACAUCGCAUCGCCGAGCCGUCUUGAGCGCACGUCUGUGUCGCGUAAGCGUCGCGUGGAGGCCGGCGACGAGGGUGACGUUUUCGCCGUCCUCGCACGUCACACCGGCUUGUGAUUCGCUGUCGAUCUUCGACCGGUCAGUGUUGUUCGGCUGCGUAUUAGCGUAGAACGUCGGUAUUUCAACGGGGAUUAGGUUGUUGGAUUCAGGAAUUCGACGGAACCGAAAUCCACGAAAGCCCUUAUUGUGCUGGAUUUGUGUGUGAAGGGUUUUUCUUAGGUCGUAUCCCUAUUUCUUCUGCUGCUGUGUUUUGGGCAGAAUUUGAAUGCUUACUUAUGUGAUUUCUAUGUUAUAACCCGUGCGAGCGUUCGUUGUCGCUGGUUCGGGACUGCGCCAGCUGUUGAUACGGAACUCCGGUGGCACCUUCUUCACCAUCGGUGAUUUGCGAUAAGGUGGGGUUAAUCAUCGGUGUUACUCCUAAGUGGCUAUGAUAAUCGACAUGUAAUUUGGAAUAUCUUGUGUUGGCGCAAUUGCUCGAGGUUCCAUUGAUUUAGUUAUCGGUUAAUUAUCUGAAUUGGAACUGAGUUAUUAUCUUUGAUAUAUAUAUAAUAAUGUUUGGACUUGAUAAGAUUUAGGAGAAAACUCGCGAUUAUAUCGUCAUAUAUUUGAAACUAAACCUGAUUUAGCUCUAGAAGCUCAUGUAUUAUUGUAUACGUGUAGCAGUAUCCUAUAGGUGAGUAUUUUGUUAAUUUUUUUUUUUUUUUUUUUUUUUUUUUUCCAAGAUAGUUUAGCUUUCAGUUACGUCGUGCCAGGGAGAUGCGAGAUUAUUUUUACCAGUAGGUUCAACUGUUCCGGUACUGUUGGGUGCCGUCGGUGUUCGUUAUGACGGAUGGACCACGUAUCGCACUUUUGGGGCUCGAUUGUGACGAGGCACGUUACUAUUGGUUGUUAGACCAGUUUGAGUCCGCGUUUGACUGGACUUUGCUUUUGAGAGCGUUAGCUGCGCUCGACAGAGAUACGCCCUGUAUACUCGGUUGGUAGCCCACGAGUACCACUCCGGGAGACGAGCGCCUGUGCUUUCGCAGUUAGUGUCGUCAUGCCGGAUUGGACUUGCUUCACGGUAUAGUAGUGUGGAGGCUAGCUGAUAAUCACCACGGGCAGUGACGCGGUGCUGUUCACCAGUCCCAGGGACGGGUCAUGCUUACAAGUUUACAUUGCGAUGUGGGCAGAUUUGCAUUUCUACAGCUUGGUUAGUAUAGAGCAUCGAGUGUAGUGCAUUCAUAGCGGCUAGAUUUUAUUCCUGUACUUUACUACUAUUCUCGGCUCCCUUCUGUAGAUUUAGUGGGUGGACCGAUAUUGUUUAGGCGCGGGCACCACUGAGGACUACUUGUUUUUACAGUGGAGUUCUCCCACGCCCAGUCGUUUACCCUGUUUUGCAGAGCCCACAGGUUUCGGCCUUCUUCUUCUUCUUCUCUCUCUAGAAAAUGUAGGGAGAGGGUGAGAAUGAGAGAAUGAGAGAGGGAAGAGGAGGAAAUGGCUAAUAAGCCCAUCUAAUGUAACAAAAUCCAGUGAGGCCCCUCAAAAAUCCAAAAUUGCAUCAGCCCGAACUGGGCAGUUUUCGCCCAGAGGGACCGGUCUCUCCCCAGCAGGGACCGGUCUCUCGCUGCGAACCCGAAAAACCAGCGUUCGGGAACCGGUCUCUCCCUGCGCGGGACCGGUCUCUCACUGCGAAGACGCGUUCGGGAACCGGUCUCGCCUGCCAGGGACCGGUUGCCUCAGGCUGCCUCAACACUGCUCACUGGGGGGACCGGUCUCUCCCUCCAGGGACCGGUCCCCGAGAGUAAAAACUCUCAGGACUUGUCCAAAGUUCCAGUUUUCGAACUUUUCGGGUCGGGGAACAUUUUACAACCCUCCACCAAGUGUGGAAAAGCUCGAAAUACAACCAAACACUCGAACCUCCCAAUUUGCAAAGGUCCAGUGUGUUACAGGGCAGGUGCUACGGAUGUGGUCAGCCGGGACACAUGAGGGCAGCUUGUCCCCGAGCAACGUCUCCAGCACCAUCAUCAGCUUCAGCACCACCAUCACCAUAGCAGUCUUACGGAGCAGCGCCGAGUUACCGCCAGGAGGACAGAUCGUCUGUGCCGCGGUCGAGUGAGCGGCGACAGCAGGCUCCGAGUGGCAGAGUCUACGCAGCUCAGGUGGAGGAAUCUACAGUAGCCGACCGAGUGGUGGCAGGUAUCACUUUGAUUUCUGGCAUUAGAGUUCGCACUCUUUUUGAUACCGGUGCAUCGCAUUCCUUUGUUAGCCGAGCAUUUGCACAGUUACAUGGUCUAGAGUUAGGAGCGUUGUCUCAGGCACGAGAGGUGCAGAUCCCAGACCAUGUUUUGCCUGUGGUGGAGUGUUGUUGGUCAUGUCCGGUGCAGCUAGACUCGUGGAUUAUGCCCGCAGACCUGUUGGUGUUAGGGCGGCUGCAGAACUUCGACGUUGUGCUCGGUAUGGAUUGGCUGGCGCGGUACUAUGCUACGAUCGACUGUGGAGUGAGGACGGUGACGUUCCGUGAGCCAGGCCAGGAGUUCACUUUCAGAGGCUGUAGGAGCACGCUGUUUGCUACUUGGAUAUCUUUGGCGAGGGCUCGAUAGAUGCUAAGUAGUGGGUGUCUCGCUUUUCUAGCGACUGUUGUGGAGAUACCUACGGCGGCGCCGGGACUUGAGGACAUCCCAGUAGUCCGCGAGUUUCCGGACGUGUUUUCCUCCUGAGUUGACGACGUUGCCGCCGGAAAGGGAGAUUGAGUUUGUGAUUGAUGUAGUUCCUGGAACUGCACCAAUCUCAAAGGUACCUUAUCGGAUGGCGCCGGCAGAGCUGAGAGAGCUAAAGGCACAGCUUCAGGAUCUGAUGGAUAGAGGGUUUGUGAGACCCAGUGUGUCGCCUUGGGGAGCGCCGGUGUUAUUUGUAAAGAAGAAGGAUGGUUCGCUCAGGUUAUGUGUGGAUUACUGGAAGCUGAAUAAAGUGACCAUCAAGAAUAAGUAUCCCUUGCCGCGUAUUGAUGAUUUGUUUGAUCAGCUGCAGGGAUCUUAUGUCUUCUCGAAGAUUGAUCUCCAGUCAGGUUACCACCAGCUGAGGGUGAGGGCCGAGGAUGUUCCCAAGACGGCUUUUCGGACUCGGUACGGGCAUUAUGAGUUCACGGUGAUGCCUUUUGGAUUGACGAAUGCCCCUGCCGCAUUCAUGGAUUUGAUGAACAGAGUGUUCAAGCCGUUCUUGGAUAGGUUUGUGGUAGUCUUCAUCGACGAUAUCCUGAUUUACUCCCGGAGUGAUGCUGAGCAUGAGGAGCACUUGAGGAUUGUGCUACAGCUUCUGCGCGAGAAGAAGUUGUAUGCCAAGUUAAAGAAGUGCGAGUUCUGGCUACGGGAGGUUGCUUUCUUGGGCCACGUGAUUUCAGCUGAGGGCGUAGCAGUGGACCCGAAGAAGAUUGAGGCGAUUCGAGAUUGGCCUAGACCGACGACGGUGACUGAGGUACGGAGCUUCCUGGGACUGGCAGGAUAUUACCGUCGGUUUGUGGAAGGCUUUGCGAAGCUUUCCACACCCCUCACACGCUUGACGCGGAAGGGGAUUCGUUUUGUCUGGAGCGACGACUGUCAGAGGAGCUUUGACGAGUUGAGACUGAGGUUGACGUCGGCUCCUAUCCUUGCCCUUCCGGUGAUGGGGGAUGGAUUCGUGAUCUACAGUGAUGCAUCGCACAGUGGACUUGGUUGCGUGCUGAUGCAGCAUGGUAGGGUGAUUGCUUAUGCUUCACGGCAAUUAAAGGAUUAUGAGAAGAAUUACCCUACGCAUGACUUGGAGCUUGCCGCGGUGGUUUUUGCUUUGAAGCUCUGGCGGCAUUACUUGUAUGGCGAGCACUGCGAGGUCUUCACCGAUCAUAAAAGUCUCAAAUAUCUGUUCACACAGAGGGAGCUGAACCUGAGGCAGCGCCGGUGGUUGGAGUUAUUGAAGGACUAUGACAUUAGUAUUCAGUAUCAUCCCGGCAGGGCGAAUGUUGUGGCAGAUGCGUUGAGCAGGAAAUCAGUGCAGAGCCUGAGUUUGAGGAUCACUGAGCAGAGACCCCCUACUCGAGGAGCUUCAGCGGCUGGGACUCGAGAUAGUACCCCCUGGGUCUACGGCGAGGCUGACGUCUCUAGUUUUACAAUCCACUCUGUUGGAUAGGAUCCGAGAGAAACAGAGUGGAGAUCCGUACUUGUUGAGGAUUAGAGAGCAGCUAGACAGGGGGCAUGCUGAGGGUUUUGCUUUAGACAGUUCGGGAGUACUACGGUACAGGGACCGACUGUGUGUGCCUGUGGAUUCUGAGAUUCGAGUAUACAUUCUGAGAGAGGCUCAUUGUUCUCCUUAUACGGUUCACCCUGGGGGAACCAAGAUGUAUAAGGAUCUUAAGGCACGGUUCUGGUGGCUUGGAAUGAAGAGGGACAUUGGCAGAUUUGUGGUUCAGUGUUUGACUUGCCAACAGGUGAAGACCGAGCAUCAGGUGCCUGCUGGCAAGCUUCAGAGUCUGCCAGGGCCCGAGUGGAAGUACGAGUACAUCACGAUGGACUUCGUCGUUGGAUUGCCUAGAGCGCAGUGUGGCUACGACGCGAUUUGGGUGAUAGUGGACAGACUUACCAAGUCUGCUCACUUCCUACCGGUUCAAACUACCUAGUCCAGAGAGAUACUCGCGCAGCUAUACCUGGAUGAGAUUGUUAGGCUGCACGGCGUGCCAGUGUCGAUUGUGUCAGACAGAGACCCGAGGUUUGUAUCCUAGUUUUGGAGGAGUCUUCAGACCGCCUUGGGCACUCAGCUGCAUUUUAGCACGGCAUUCCACCCACAGACAGAUGGUCAGUCAGAGCGGACCAUACAGACUCUAGGGGACAUGCUGAGGGCACGCGUCCUAGAUUUUGGAGGAGGGUGAUAUCGACAUGUGAGACUGGUUGAGUUUGCGUACAACAACAGCUAUCAAACGAGCAUUCAGAUGGCUCCGUUUGAGGCGUUGUAUGGACGCAGAUGUCGAUCCCCCCUAUUUUGGAGCGAUGUGGGUGAGCGGAGGACACUUGGACAGGACAUUCUACUUGAGGCUGAGGAAAAGGUGAGAGUUGUUCGACGACACCUUUUGACAACCCAGAGCCGCCAGAGGAGCUACGCCGAUACCAGGAGACGAGACUUAGAGUUUCAGAUUGGAGAUCAUGUUUUCCUCAAAGCCUCGUCGUCCACAGGGAUACGCCGAUUUGGGGUACGUGGAAAGCUCAGUCCACGGUUCGUUGGCCUUUUCGAGAUAUUGGAACGAGUUGGACUGGUUGCUUACAGAAUAGCUCUACCCCCGCGACUUGCUGGCAUCCACGAUGUUUUCCACGUCUCAGCUUUGAGGAGAUUCAUUUUCGAUCCCUCUCACGUGAUCGACUUUACUCCACUCGAGAUUGGCGAGGAUCUGAGAUACGAGGAGCGACCGUUGCGGAUUCUUGCUCGAGAGACGAAAGAAUUACGCAACCGGAUCAUUCCGUAUGUGAAAGUGCAGUGGAGCAAUCACGAGGAGCGGGAGGCGACUUGGGAGCCUGAGACAGUGAUGAGGGAGUCUUACCCAAACAUGUUUGAUUCUUAGAGUUGAGGUAUGUGCUAAGUUUCGAGGACGAAACUUUUUGUAGUGGGGAGCAUGUAGUAUCCUUAUAUAUAUAUAUAUAUAUAUAUAAUGCCACGUGCCCCCAUGCAUGUAUUUCAUGCUUAUCUAAUUAGAGGGUUGUACAUGCCUCCUUAAUUAAAAUUUCCUCCCACUCUAUCUCUGGAGCCAUACGCGAGGAGGAGAAGCUUGGGUGGAGCGUUCGUCGCCGACGUCGCGCCGCGAGCCGUUCGAGCGCGCUUGUUGCCGGAGCUUUGCGAGGAGGCCGGGCGAGGGAGCGUCUUCACUGUUCUUGACGUCGCGCCGAGGUUCGACGCUGUCGUAUCGUCGAACGUCAGUGUUUGGCUGCGAUACUUAGCGUAGAACGUCGCGUAUUCAACCGGGCAUUUGAGGUUGAUUGGCUUCAGGACUUCGAGAGACAGAAAUCCACGAAAGCCCUUAUUUGCUGGAUUGGUGAAGGGUUUUCUAAGGUUCGUAUCCCUAUUUCUUUCUGCGCCUGCUGCUUUUGGCAAAUUGAUGCUUAAUAUGGAUUUCUAUGUUUUAACCCGUGGAGCGUGUUUGCUCGCUGGUUCGGGGAGCUGCGCCGAGCUUGAUAGGAACUCCGUACCUUCUUCACCAAUCGGGGAUUUGCGAUUAAGGUGGGUUAAUCUAUCGGUUUAUCCUAAGUGCCUAUAUAAUCGAACAUGUAAUUGUGGAAUUUCUUUUGUGUGGCGCAAUUGCUCGGUUUUCAUUGAUUUAGUAUCGGUUAAUAAUCUGAAUUGGAACUGAGUUAUUAUCUUUGGAUAUAUAUAUCAUGUUGGACUUGGAUAAGAUUUAGGAGGAAAACUCGCGAUUAUGAUGUCAUAUAUUUAAACUUACCUGAUUUAGCUCUAGAAAGCGUUGUAUUAAUUGUUAUACUGUAGCAGUAUCCUAUAGUGAGUAUUCCAGAUAGUUUAGCUUUCAGUUACGCUCGUGCCGGGAUGCCGAGUAUAUUUUACAGUAGCGUUCAACUGUUCCGGACUGUUGGGUGCCGUCGGGUCGUUGACGGUGGACCCGUAUCGCCUUUUGGCGUCGGAUUGUGCGAGGGCACGUUACUAUUGGUUGUUAGACCAGUUUGAGUCGCUUACUGGACUUUGGCUUUGAGAGCCGAUUGAGCUGACAGAGAUACGCUGUAUACUCGGUUGGCGGGGUAUUUAUUAAGGGGGCUCCCACGAGUGCCACUCCGGAGUCAGGCUUUGUGCUUUCGCGUUGGUGUCGCUCAUGCCGGUUGGACUUGCUCUCCACGGACUAGUAGUGUGGAGGUAGCUGGAUAAUCACAACCGGGCAGUGACGGGUGUGUUCACAGUCCCAGGGACGGGUAUGCUUACAGUUCCGAUUGGAUUGGGUCAGAUUUGACAUUUUCUACAGUUGGUUAGUAUAGAGCAUGAUAGUGUAGUGAUUCAUAGCGGUAGAUUUUAUUCCUGUAUUUACUACUAUUCUGG
rnacentral:lncRNA from 1 species